rnacentral:rRNA from 1 species
UACGUAGGGUGCAAGCGUUAAUCGGAAUUACUGGGCGUAAAGCGUGCGCAGGCGGCUUUGCAAGACAGAUGUGAAAUCCCCGGGCUUAACCUGGGAACUGCAUUUGUGACUGCAUGGCUAGAGUACGGCAGAGGGGGAUGGAAUUCCGCGUGUAGCAGUGAAAUGCGUAGAUAUGCGGAGGAACACCGAUGGCGAAGGCAAUCCCCUGGGCCUGUACUGACGCUCAUGCACGAAAGCGUGGGGAGCAAACAGG